CGGCGAACGGGUGAGUAACACGUGAGCAACCUGCCCCGAAGACUGGGAUAACACCGGGAAACCGGUGCUAAUACCGGAUACCCCCACCAGGCCGCAUGACCAGGUGAGGAAAUGAAUUUCGCUUCGGGAGGGGCUCGCGGGCUAUCAGCUUGUUGGUGGGGUAACGGCCUACCAAGGCGACGACGGCUAGCUGGUCUGAGAGGACGACCAGCCACACUGGGACUGAGACACGGCCCAG
rnacentral:rRNA from 1 species